UUUAUCAAGAGUGACGGAGGGAACAGACCCUGAGAAGUCCGACAACCUGCUUGAGAGGAAUGGAUUGCAUUUAAUCUAUCCAUAUUGAAAUGUAAAUUGAAAGAGUAAGGUGCCAAAUUCUGCGGUAUAACCGAAAGAUGAG
rnacentral:ncRNA from 1 species